UACGGGGGGCGCAAGCGUUGUUCGGAUUUACUGGGCGUAAAGGGCGCGUAGGCGGCCACCGCAAGUCGAUUGUGAAAUCUCCGGGCUUAACCCGGAAAGGUCAACCGAUACUGCGGGGCUAGAGUGCAGAAGGGGCAACUGGAAUUCUCGGUGUAGCGGUGAAAUGCGUAGAUAUCGAGAGGAACAUCAGUGGCGAAGGCGACUUCCUGGACCAAUACUGACGCUCAGGUGCGAAAGCGUGGGGAGCAAACAGG
rnacentral:rRNA from 1 species